GACGAACGCUGGCGGCGUGCUUAACACAUGCAAGUCGAACGGAAAGGCCCUGCUUUUGUGGGGUGCUCGAGUGGCGAACGGGUGAGUAACACGUGAGUAACCUGCCCUUGACUUUGGGAUAACUUCAGGAAGCUGGGGCUAAUACCGGAUAGGAGCUCCUGCUGCAUGGUGGGGGUUGGAAAGUUUCGGCGGUUGGGGAUGGACUCGCGGCUUAUCAGCUUGUUGGUGGGGUAGUGGCUUACCAAGGCUUUGACGGGUAGCCGGCCUGAGAGGGUGACCGGCCACAUUGGGACUGAGAUACGGCCCAGACUCCUACGGGAGGCAGCAGUGGGGAAUAUUGCACAAUGGGCGGAAGCCUGGUGCAGCAACGCCGCGUGCGGGAUGACGGCCUUCAGGUUGUAAACCGCUUUCGCCUGUGACGAAGCGUGAGUGACGGUAAUGGGUAAAGAAGCACCGGCUAACUACGUG
rnacentral:rRNA from 1 species